ACUUACGGCUAUGCCACCCUGAGUGGCCUGAUCUUGUCUGAUCUCGGAAGCUAAGCAGGGUCAGGCCUGGUUAGUACUUGGAUGGGAGACCACCUUGAAAUACCAGGUACUGUAGGCG
rnacentral:rRNA from 1 species